UACAGAGGGUGCAAACGUUGCUCGGAAUCACUGGGCGUAAAGGGCGUGUAGGCGGGAAGGAAAGUCAGAUGUGAAAUCCCUGGGCUCAACCCAGGAACUGCAUUUGAAACUCCCUUUCUUGAGUGUCGGAGAGGAAAGUGGAAUUCCUGGUGUAGAGGUGAAAUGCGCAGAUAUCAGGAAGAACACCGAUGGCGAAGGCAGUUCUCUGGGACGGUACUGACGCUGAGACGCGAAAGCGUGGGGAGCGAACAGG
rnacentral:rRNA from 1 species